UGGGGAAUUUUGGACAAUGGGCGAAAGCCUGAUCCAGCAAUGCCGCGUGUGUGAAGAAGGCCUUCGGGUUGUAAAGCACUUUUGUCCGGAAAGAAAUCCUUGGCUCUAAUACAGUCGGGGGAUGACGGUACCGGAAGAAUAAGCACCGGCUAACUACGUGCCAGCAGCCGCGGUAAUACGUAGGGUGCAAGCGUUAAUCGGAAUUACUGGGCGUAAAGCGUGCGCAGGCGGUUUGCUAAGACCGAUGUGAAAUCCCCGGGCUCAACCUGGGAACUGCAUUGGUGACUGGCAGGCUAGAGUAUGGCAGAGGGGGGUAGAAUUCCACGUGUAGCAGUGAAAUGCGUAGAGAUGUGGAGGAAUACCGAUGGCGAAGGCAGCCCCUGGCCAAUACUGACGCUCAUGCACGAAAGCGUGGGGAGCAAAACAGGAUUAGAUACCCUGGUAGUCCACGCCCUAAAACGAUGUCAACUAGUUGUUGGGGAUUCAUUUCCUUAGUAACGUAGCUAAACGCGUGAAGUUGACCGCCUGGGGAGUACGGUCGCAAGAUUAAAAACUU
rnacentral:rRNA from 1 species